GACCCAGACUCCUACGGGAGGCAGCAGUGGGGGAUAUUGCACAAUGGGGGAAACCCUGAUGCAGCAACGCCGCGUGAGUGAAGAAGUAUUUCGGUAUGUAAAGCUCUAUCAGCAGGGAAGAGAAUGACGGUACCUGACUAAGAAGCCCCGGCUAACUACGUGCCAGCAGCCGCGGUAAUACGUAGGGGGCGAGCGUUAUCCGGAUUUACUGGGUGUAAAGGGUGCGUAGGCGGAAUGCCAAGUCAGCGGUAAAAUCGCGGGGCUCAACCUCGCUCCGCCGUUGAAACUGGCGUUCUUGAGUGGGCGAGAAGUAUGCGGAAUGCGUGGUGUAGCGGUGAAAUGCAUAGAUAUCACGCAGAACUCCGAUUGCGAAGGCAGCAUACCGGCGCGCAACUGACGCUCAUGCACGAAAGCGUGGGUAUCGAACAGGAUUAGAUACCCUCGUAU
rnacentral:rRNA from 1 species